rnacentral:rRNA from 1 species
AUUGAACGCUGGCGGCAGGCCUAACACAUGCAAGUCGAGCGGCAGCGGAAAGUAGCUUGCUACUUUGCCGGCGAGCGGCGGACGGGUGAGUAAUGUCUGGGAAACUGCCUGAUGGAGGGGGAUAACUACUGGAAACGGUAGCUAAUACCGCAUGACCUCGCAAGAGCAAAGUGGGGGACCUUCGGGCCUCACGCCAUCGGAUGUGCCCAGAUGGGAUUAGCUAGUAGGUGAGGUAAUGGCUCACCUAGGCGACGAUCCCUAGCUGGUCUGAGAGGAUGACCAGCCACACUGGAACUGAGACACGGUCCAGACUCCUACGGGAGGCAGCAGUGGGGAAUAUUGCACAAUGGGCGCAAGCCUGAUGCAGCCAUGCCGCGUGUGUGAAGAAGGCCUUCGGGUUGUAAAGCACUUUCAGCGAGGAGGAAGGGUUCAGUGUUAAUAGCACUGUUCAUUGACGUUACUCGCAGAAGAAGCACCGGCUAACUCCGUGCCAGCAGCCGCGGUAAUACGGAGGGUGCAAGCGUUAAUCGGAAUUACUGGGCGUAAAGCGCACGCAGGCGGUUUGUUAAGUCAGAUGUGAAAUCCCCGAGCUUAACUUGGGAACUGCAUUUGAAACUGGCAAGCUAGAGUCUUGUAGAGGGGGGUAGAAUUCCAGGUGUAGCGGUGAAAUGCGUAGAGAUCUGGAGGAAUACCGGUGGCGAAGGCGGCCCCCUGGACAAAGACUGACGCUCAGGUGCGAAAGCGUGGGGAGCAAACAGG